rnacentral:rRNA from 1 species
GUGGGGAAUCUUGCGCAAUGGGCGAAAGCCUGACGCAGCCAUGCCGCGUGAAUGAUGAAGGUCUUAGGAUUGUAAAAUUCUUUCACCGGGGACGAUAAUGACGGUACCCGGAGAAGAAGCCCCGGCUAACUUCGUGCCAGCAGCCGCGGUAAUACGAAGGGGGCUAGCGUUGCUCGGAAUUACUGGGCGUAAAGGGCGCGUAGGCGGACAGUUUAGUCAGAGGUGAAAGCCCAGGGCUCAACCUUGGAAUUGCCUUUGAUACUGGCUGUCUUGAGUACGGGAGAGGUGAGUGGAACUCCGAGUGUAGAGGUGAAAUUCGUAGAUAUUCGGAAGAACACCAGUGGCGAAGGCGGCUUACUGGUCCAUUACUGACGCUGAGGUGCGAAAGCGUGGGGAGCAAACAGGAUUAGAUACCCGAGUAGUCC